ACGGAAGGCAGCAGUGAGGAAUAUUGGUCAAUGGACGAGAGUCUGAACCAGCCAAGUCGCGUGAAGGAAGACGGUUCUGUGGAUUGUAAACUUCUUUUGUCUGAGGGUAAAGUGAGAGAUGCGUCUCUUAUUGCAAGUAUCAGACGAAUAAGCAUCGGCUAACUCCGUGCCAGCAGCCGCGGUAAUACGGAGGAUGCGAGCGUUAUCCGGAUUUAUUGGGUUUAAAGGGUGCGUAGGCGGGCGAUUAAGUCAGCGGGGAAAUUGUGUAGCUUAACUAUACCGAGCCGUUGAAACUGGUUGUCUUGAGUGUAAACGAGGUAGGCGGAAUGUGACGUGUAGCGGUGAAAUGCUUAGAUAUGUCACAGAACCCCGAUUGCGAAGGCAGCUUACCAGGAUACGACUGACGCUGAGGCACGAAAGCGUGGGUAUCAAACAGGAUUAGAUACCCUGGUA
rnacentral:rRNA from 1 species